CAGCCAUGCCGCGUGCAGGACGACUGCCCUAUGGGUUGUAAACUGCUUUUGUUAGGGAAUAAAACCCCGCUACGUGUAGCGGGCUGAAUGUACCUAAAGAAUAAGGAUCGGCUAACUCCGUGCCAGCAGCCGCGGUAA
rnacentral:rRNA from 1 species